AAUUAGAAAUAUAAAUGGAAUUAAACCAUUAAAGAUAAAAGUUAGCAGCUUUUUCUUGAUCAACA
rnacentral:tRNA from 2 species